UGGCAGCUCCAUGUCCACACCUGUCCUCUUGUCUUCCCAGUACAAAGUACACUGCAGAGUUAACAGCUGCGGGGACAAACUUCAAUCCACAGGUACAAGAGUUAGUAGACAAAAUGCUCCAGCCUCCCCAGCCUCUGGUCAAUGAGGGCAUACAUAGUGAGAUGGUACCAUGGUGUGUAAGUCUGAGCUGAAGGGUACAGCACUUAAACCUUUAAGGGGUUAUCACGAACAGGGCUUUAGUUUGAAAGUCCCACUUAUAUAAUUGAUUUUCAGCCUCCAGCAGUGCCUGGAAUCUAGUAGGUGCUUCGUGGGAUGCUCAGAAAAUGAACAAACAGUGCCUUCCACGGUGGAAGCCAGCUGCAGAUCCUGCUUCAAGGAACAGGCGUCUUGAAAAGCCCAAAUUCAGGAUGCAGAAAGUGAAAAGAACACUGAACGGUGCAAAUGCUGGACACCACCCCAGCAACUUUUUUCCAUCCACAUCUCUCCCAGAUGAGUCAUGAACUAGAGGCAGGCUCAGGAGACACCUGCUGUCCCAUGGCUAGAAAAGGCACAAGCUGUUUCGUUUUUUAAUUUUUAUUUCUGGUUCCGGGGAUCGAACUCAGGUCCUUGCUCUUGCGAGGCAGACAGAGGCACCACUGAGCUAAAUCCCCGGCCCUUGUUGUUUUUAAAUGGACCAACCAUUAGUAAAACUUGUACUUGUCAAAAGCAACACUCAUCAGAAAAUUAGGGAACAGUCUUCUAAGGUUCUUCUGGCUUUCAAAGUAUCCACCCAAGGGGCGGAGCUAAAUUCUGGGAUUCGAAACUCUGUCUAGUUCAUCUUUUCCCACAAUCUAAAGUCCAAACGUGAACUAUGCGAAGAAGAGUUGGGGGCUGGGGGCAGUCACAGGGUGCCCUCAGCUCACCUUUGGCUGGAGAAGCCCCAACCUCCUACCUCCUACCCUUUUGAAUCCACUUUUAG
rnacentral:lncRNA from 1 species